AACGAACGCUGGCGGCAGGCCUAACACAUGCAAGUCGAACGCUCCGCAAGGAGAGUGGCAGACGGGUGAGUAACACGUGGGAAUCUUCCUAUCGGUGCGGAAUAGCUCAGGGAAACUUGAGGUAAUACCGCAUACGCCCUCAGGGGGAAAGAUUUAUCGCCGAUAGAUGAGCCCGCGUCGGAUUAGCUAGUUGGUGGGGUAAAGGCCCACCAAGGCGACGAUCAGUAGCUGGUCUGAGAGGAUGACCAGCCACACUGGGACUGAGGCACGGCCCAGACUCCUACGGGAGGCAGCAGUGGGGAAUAUUGGACAAUGGGCGCAAGCCUGAUCCAGCCAUGCCGCGUGAGUGACGAAGGUCUUCGGAUUGUAAAGCUCUUUUGCCAGGGACGAUAAUGACGGUACCUGGAGAAUAAGCCCCGGCUAACUUCGUGCCAGCCGCCGCUGUAACAC
rnacentral:rRNA from 1 species